rnacentral:tRNA from 1 species
GCGGCCGUGGUGAAACUGGUAGACACGUGGGACUUAGGAUCCCAUGGAGCAAUCUGUGCAGGUUCAAGUCCUGUCGGCCGCACCA